CCCCCUCCCACUGUGACCGAAGGAGGCUCCGCCAGCCAGCCGUGGCCUCCUCGCCCAGGAAGCCAGAUCGCAAUCCCCUUCGGGGGCACCGGGGACACCCAGCGCACCCUCCCGCGACUGAGUCUGUAAGAAGCCCAGCUGCCCGCAUGCUUGCUCCCAGUUGGUGACGAAGGACUGGGAUCAGGGACUAAGGCUGGAUAACAACAUGGAAAUGAUCACUGAACCCAUAGAAGCUGAUGAGGACACCAAAUAAAAGUAAGAAAGAAGAAAAAGUGGCCCAGAAAAAAACCUUGAGCAAUAAUCACAGUUAGAUGGACAUGAGGGAUGAAGAUCCAGUGAAGUACAGUGAGAAGGGCAAGUAAAACAGGUAGGAAGAGAACCUGGAGAUAUUAGCAGCAUGAAGACCCAUAUCCAGUCCUUUGUCAAGUCUUGUUUCUAUCUCAACAAUGUCUCUCCAAUAGGUCCUCUUCUUACUACUCUCACAACUGUCAAACCUGAUCAGUUCUUCAUCAUCUCUUACCUACACUAUUAUAAUAGCCUCCUCAUUUUGGUCUCCUGACCUCAAAUCUCUCCUCAUUUCAUUCUACCCACUAUACAAUUGCCAAAAUGAUUUCCUUAAAUCAUAGAUCUAACCAUGUCACCAUCCUAGCCCCAGAUUCAAUAAACUCCAAUGUUGUUCAUUUGAAUCCAA